AUCUGGAGCACAUUCUAACUCUUCUCUCUGGUCUCACCAGAUUCUUUUUUUUCUUUAAUGUUUAUUUAUCUUUGAGAGAGAGAGAGGGGGAGAGAAAGCAGGGGAGGGGCAGAGAGAGAGGGAGACAGAAUUCGAAGCAGGCUCCAGGCUCUGAGCUGUCAGCACAGAGCCCGAUGCGGGGCUCCCCCCCACGAACUGUUGAGAUCAUGACCUGAGCUGAAGUCAGACGCUUAACCGCACGAGCCACCCAGGCGCCCCCACCUUUUCUUUUUUAAGUAGGCUUCGUGCCCAGCACAGGGCUUCAACUCACCACCCCGAGAUCAAGGCCUGAGCUGAGAUCAAGGGUCAGAGCUUAACCAACUGAGCCACCCAGGGUGCCCCCAGAUUCUUGAAUAAAAACCCCUCUAUACAUGGGAGCCAUUCUCAUGGAGGCCAGAGUCCCAUUGCUUAGGAUAGGUCGCUAUUUCUUGGCUCAGGAGAAGGGAAAGCAGAAGAUGGGAACUCUACUCCAUGGGCCCUUUUUAAACUCCUGUGUACGAGAGUCUGUGCUAGGAGCCAGGCGGGAUUCAGGAAGAGUGCGACCCGCCCUCCCGGAGCCCCCAGUCUGAGUAGAGAGACAGGCAGGGCACCCACUCACCCGCUAACUGCGGACAGAGCCACAUGAAGCUUCUCCUAGAGUAUCUGGUCUACCAAAGUGCCGAUAGAGGGCAGAGAGCAAUGACCAAUUUCAAUUCAUGGGGUUGAAAAAGACAUCCUGUAUUGGGUGAACGGAAGUAAACCUGCCAGCAGAAGGUCAGAAGCAUAGGAGGAGCUCCCUAACCUUGAUUCACAUCUAGGAUCUUUUCCACAUUGAGAAUUCUGUAAGCACUAGUGCACAGAGACUGUCUUGUAGACCUUUGAUGAGUUAUAACUACAGUUAUCUGCAAAAUGAAAGGCAAAAAGCCGAGGGUCUAUUUGUAGCUCAAUCACCAAACACUGGGAGGAUCCGGAUCUGCCUGGUUUUAUCCCGAUUGGCCGUCCUUGCUGCCAGAGAAGGGCGUACGGUUGCCUCCCGUCCAUCUCACUUGGCUGUGAUGGCCACGGCAUCCCAAUCCCAGAUACCAGACGGCGAGAGACCUGCAGUAAGGGAGGUUACCUCUCCAGGAAGGAGCCAGAACACAAGUGGCGGCUUUAGUACCAGCCUCUACGGCCUUUGCUGCCAUGCGCUGUAUUCCGGUGACCUCCGGAAGGGACCACAUUGGAGGGUGGGUUCCUGUAGGGAGACAUCUUGGCAAAGGAAGACGUCUCUCCCAUUUACAGGGAAGAGGUGUGGUGCCCGGAGAGGGGGGAUCCUAGGGUAUGCGACGGGGUGGGAAGGAAAACGGGCUGGGAAAAUGUCAGAUUAUCGGAGGCCAAGUUCAGGACGACCACGUGAAGCCGUGCGAGCCUGGGGAGAAAACAAAUCCUUAGAGAAGAACGUUCUCUUCUCCUCGUUUUUCUACUCAGCCCGUGACUUCUCACCACUGCAAUUGUCUUCUCUCCUGACCUUGUUCUCCACCUUGCUGCCAGUUUACCCUGUGGAAUCACUGACUCAGUCAGUCAGCCUGUCCGUCGGUCAGUCCACACACAUAUAUACCAGGUGCUAG
ensembl:lncRNA